ensembl:lncRNA novel transcript
GUGGAAUUAUAAAACCUUUGGAAAAUCUUUCAUGUGAGAACAACAUGGGGGCAAGCCUCUGACCAAAAUAGCUCAAAAAUUUGUGUUACGCAGUUACAGUAAAUACCCAAGAGCUUGACGCAUAAAACACAACAGCCUCCUGGAGACAGAGGGAGGAGAAAGAAAGAUAAAGUCUGUGGCUUUAGAAGAAAAGGAAUAACUUAAGAGGCUUGUUUGCUGUUCAGGCUGGCCACCAAGGAUGACAUUUUGGAUACUAUAAGAAGAUUGGGAUAGAUACUGAGUGAGCCUCAGAAAAUCAGCUGGAUACACCCCAGCUCCCUCCCACCACAUGAACUAAAGAUCUGCAAGCUGUAACCUUUUCCGAAGGGCUACCUGGGCCUCUGUGUCCAUCAGAGCUGAUGAGCUGAUCUUCAUUCACCAUAAGUGCAACUAUCAUGGCUCAUGGAGCCCUGGAGAGAGUAGCACAUAUAUUGAACUUCAGUUUUAAAAAGUCUAAUACUUUUCUAAAAUGACUUGCUAUCUAUUUCAUCCAGAGAAGAUUUAUUACGUAGCCUUUCUAGCAUAAAAUAUCAUUACUUUUAAAGAAAAAUCCAAUCUAAAUUCCUCUAACUACAAUGGAAGUCCCCUUUUCUUAUUCAUUUCUCACUCAAAUAUGGAACAACCAGUCACUUCCAUUAAAUCUAAUCUUCCUGUAUGCUCUUGAAGAUAACUACCAGUUAAACAGAGCUAUCUAUGGGAAUGGUUUUUGAAAAAAAAUUGCGUUGUUUCAGUACUUUGGAGGAUGGCUGAUGUUUGCCUUUUCAAGAGAUGUAUCAUGGACUGUUUUUGUUAAACUAACUUGGCUUCAAGAAUUUGAGACUAACUCAGAUUUUCUCAAACAGUGGGGGAUUUGAUGCAGCAAUAUGCAGGCAUGGGAUAUCAGAAAGAGCCAGAUAACCAAAGGAAGAGUAGUAGCUGAAGCAGGAUUCUAAGACCAAGAAAUCAUUUUCAUGCUGCAUUACGGUUGCCAGAUUAGUCAUUAAAUAAACAGUAUACAAUUCAUUGAACUCUCUGUUAGCCCAUUUGAAAGAUGAUGAAGUUAGAAUGCUUAAUAUAUGGUCCUUUGUGUUUGGAGCAGAUAAAAGCGUUCUGGAAAAUUCCCAAGAGUAGAAUAUUAAUUUCAGGGCAGAAGAGAUUUUUGCUGUUUCGGUCGUGGCAUUAUCUCCAGUAUUUAUGUGCCUGGAACAUAUUAGUUGCCCAUGCUUUGACGAGUGGGAUGGCCCUUUGAAGCAGAGACACACCUUUCUCCCUGGGUGCUACCUGAGCACUUCUUACAAAACCAUUUGUUUUAUUAUGACAUUUAGCAGAUUGUGUUAUUUUUACUCACAUGCCAAAUGCUGUACUUCAAUAUGAGCUUUUCAAGAAGUAAAGAAUAGUGAAUUAUUCCUAUUUGUAACACAGAUAUGAGCCACCAGGGGCAACUAUAUGCAAACUAAAUUGAUAGCUAUGAGGUCAUAGUGUUGAACUGUUGUUGCGAAUACUUCUCUCGUAGACACCCUGAGAAGUGAUAGUGAGUUCAUGCUAAAGCUACAGUCUAACUUUCUAAAAAGAGUUGAAAUUAUCUCAUAUUUAACAUUCUGUGAAUUCCAUGUCCAGAAGAGUUCAGGGUUAUCAAUGCGGUAUUUUCUCAAAAUAGAACCACUCUGUUCUCCAAGGACUUAAAAUAUAGAAGCCCAGGAAAUAUUCUGUCAGUUAUUAAAAAUGUCCACUAACACAUGAA